rnacentral:rRNA from 1 species
AUACAGAGGGUGCAAGCGUUAAUCGGAAUUACUGGGCGUAAAGCGCGCGUAGGCGGUUUGUUAAGUCGGAUGUGAAAUCCCUGGGCUCAACCUGGGAACUGCAUUCGAAACUGAUUGACUUGAGUAUGGUAGAGGGUGGUGGAAUUCCUAGUGUAGCGGUGAAAUGCGUAGAUAUUAGGGGGAACAUCAGUGGCGAAGGCGACCACCUGGACCAAUACUGACGCUGAGGUGCGAAAGCGUGGGGAGUAAACAGGAUUAGAUACCCUAGUAGUCC